AUGCCAGCUCCAGAAGACUCAGGAAUCUUUCCUUUCCAGAGCUUGCUUCAGCCCGUUGGUUCUCCUCCAGAAGGAGUACCAACGGGCUUCGAGCUGUCACAGCUCCCACCUCGCCUCCAUAGAUGGUUUCAGCGUAAGCCGGCAGCCAAAGAAACAGCAGCCCUUGAGGCCUUGGCGAAUUGCAUUCUGAAGGGCCGCAAUCAGGUGGCNCUCAAGUGGGCUGACCAGAUCCUCGCCUCAGAAGAUUUGCCNACAGCAGUCAAAAGUCCGCUCAAGGACAUCAGGAAGGUUCUGGCCCUGACAGUGGAUGCAGUCCUGGACUCCAUGUCACUUUCGGCCCGGACCUGGCUCAGUUGGUCGCAGCACGAAGAGUCCUAUGGCUAAAAUUCUGGUCAGUGGAUGUUAAGGCUUGCAACAACCUUGCAUCAAAGCCUUUCUGAGGAAAGAAACUAUUCAGAGACCAUGCCCUAGACCCAGUCCUGACUGAGACCCAGGACAAGAAAAAAAGGAAUACCCUUUUUGGCAUCAUCACAACCCAGCAGAGAAGGCAAGGAUCCCAGAAGGCAUUCCUUUCGUCCCUUUUGGAAAUCAGGCAUUUUGUCCCAGGGACAGCUUCUCUCAGCAUCAGCCCAAGUCACANUGGGCCAGAUUUAAGAGAUCCUCAGCUCAGUCAUNCAACUGUCAACAGCGAGGCAACUGGAACCCUAAACAGGUCUGANUCCCACACCCGGGUGGGCGAUAGGUUAUUGGAUUUCUACUCUCGUUGGUUUUCCUUAGUCAAGGAUGCUUGGGUCCUGAGGAUUAUUUCCUCUGGCUACUCCCCUGAGUUCAUUACCCAUCCACCCCCAACCAAUUCGCAGCCUCACCCCUCCCUAGAGGCAAGUCCAAACAGGCGGCCGUCAGCCAGGCUAUCAGAGAUCUCCUGGAUCUCGGGGCCAUCGAGCAGGUACUGCCUUCCCAGCGGGGCACCGGGGUCUGUUCUAUUUUCUUNGUGGUCCCCAAGAAAUCAGGCGANUGGAGGUCAAUCCUCNAGCAUUUCUUAAGCAUUUCCACUUCAGGAUGGAAACACNGGCCUCCAUCAGGGCAUGGCUCCAAAACCAGGAUUUUUUAUGUUCCUUGGAUCUUUCCCUGGCCUAUUUCCACANCCCGAUCCAGGAAUUUAGUCACUGUUUUCUUUGUUUUUGGUUGAGGACCAGCACUGGCAAUUCNGUCUUGCCUCGGCCCCCAGGGUCUUCACCAAGGUCUUGUCUUCUUUGUUGGAGGUCCUUAGACUCGAGGGGAUAGGAAUGUUCUCUUAUUUAGACGACAUUCUUCUCAGGGCCCCUUCCUUUUCCUCCGCCUCUCAACAGCUAUCCGGAGUGCGUCAUACCCUAGAGACGCACGG
rnacentral:lncRNA from 1 species